GGAUGGCAACAUGUCAUAUGCUGGAGCAUUACCAGAUUUAUUUAUUCCAUUUGGGAAAAUGAAGAGAAAUUUUCAGUGCAUUUCUUAUUAUUUUAUUUUAUUUUAUUUUAUUUUAAAGUAUAAUAAAAUAGGAAAUAAUAAAAAAACCUUAUUAAAUGUUUUAAAUUACAUAUGUAUGUAUGAUAUAAUGCAUUUCUAUUAUAUAAUAAAAAUAUGAAAAAAGUUUAAAGUAGUAAGCAGUUGGCACAAAAUAGUUAUGGAAUUACAAAUAUAAGUGGAAGUUAUAAUUACGCAAUUCCAGAACUGGUUUUUGCGGAAACUGCUUGUGCUUUUCCAUUUUUUUAUUUUUUUAUUAUAUUAAUAAUAAAGUACAACAUACACAGGUGAAACUUAAAAGUUGAAAUAUUAUGUAUUAAAAUAUAUUAAACAUAUUAUGCAUAUUAUGUAUUUUAUGUAUAUUAAACUUUUAUGUGCAUCUAAAAAUCCAAUCUGUCUUUUUAAUUUAGCAUAUAAUUCUAGUUCAUUCUGGCACAUUCAUAGAUUCAUAGAGAAGAAAAACAAACAGAUUUUAAAUGAUGUGCACCAAAGCAUGAAUUAUACAGGGAGCAAACUGUUCAUGAUCAACCUUGAAUUAUAUACAUGAUAUACGAGUAGCUAAAGUCAGAUAUGGAAACAUUUUUUUGCAGUUUGAACAGAAAUCAAAGUCAUCAGUUUGUUCCAAAUUAAAACCACUUUUUGUUAGGAGCGAGCCUUUACAGGCUGGCGUGUAACUACAUUGUGAAAGUGGCAUUUAAAGAGGCAGCCAGUCCAUCGAUCCACUGCUGUCGAUCAACAAGACACAAACUGGAACCAGCACUCACGACUGUUCAUCAUGAUACCUUCUUCCUGUUUCUCCUUAAGUAAACAGAGAUUCUGCUUUCCAAAUGUCUUUAGACCAAAGGUUGAAAUUUACAGCUGAGAGGAAAAAAACAACAAUGAACAUCCAGAUACACAUGCAAGGAAUGCAAAGCCUUUUCCUUAUAGUAAAGUAAUCAUUAUCCUCUUCAUUAAAAUACAGCGAUCUUGCAAAACGCUUGAGAUCUAGCACAUGGCUUCGCAUUUGCAAAUUGUUCCCGCCUACGCAAAGCUGUUGUUUGAAGUCUCAAUUAAGAGUGUCUUAAUUAGUCUUUGUCUUCUUUUUCUUCUUUUUUUUCUCCGUAUCCUCCUGCUGAUCAGCUGACGGCUUUUUCCAGGGCAGGGCGUUGUAGGAUAUGUAUGCAGAAAUCAAAUAUGUGGCCAUCCCUGUGUAUCCACCAAUAAUCAAACACAACGGCUGAAUCAGCACGAACAGGCAGAAGACAUUGACCGAAGCACUAUUGGGCAAAUCCACACGGCCGUCCUUGUUUGCCUGAAACACGCCAAAGAAAUAGAUCAGUGCCACAGCUGGGUAGAAAGCUAGGUCUACCAUGGUGCCAACUCUCGAGAGCCGUCUCACGUAUGAAUGCGUCGCAGCAAGUGGGGGACGUAAUAUAAUGACGGCACUUCCUUC
ensembl:lncRNA